UUAAAAAUAAGCUAAAUAAAGCUUU
rnacentral:tRNA from 1 species